AACGAUCCCUAUCCUAAAAGGAUUUAUUCUCAUCCCUUUUCACCAGAUGUCCAGCUGCCACUGCAUGUGUCCCUCUGUGCUGCUAUCUCAUCUGGAGAGCAGCAGCAAAGGGAUGCAGAGUGGCCAUUCCUUCACCAUGUAAAACCUUCUCUGGUCAUAGGGAGGGGACGGAAGCGGGCUCACAGCUGCCUCUCUACUAUUGUUAGCUCAAUCACAAGCACAGCCACAAAGAAGAUGGAACAAAGCCUGCUCCAGUCCGUCUGCCUGUGGCUCCUGAAUGCCGUUCAUACCACCUUUAUUACUUGGAAGAAACUCAUCCAGGAAACCCAGGCCACCCAGCCACAUGCCCACCACAGGCAUCACACACCAGGUACCUCCAUGGGGCCACGCACACUGCUCGCUCAGGAGAAGGAAGGGCUCACUUUGCCCUGAAGUCACCCUGCUGGGCUUCCUCUCACAGAAACACCUCUUUGUGUUUCCCGGAUGAGGUAAAAAGUAUCUUUCUGUUCCUCAGAUAGUAGACAGGAUAAAUUGGUCCUGGGAUAAACAUCUGUCUGUCUGCCUGUAUGUCCAGUCUUUAUAUGCUGAUUUUCCUGUAAACGUAUGUAAAGACAUAGAGGGCUUCUGCAUCCAUCCAGGUUGCUCUGACCAUCCCGUAAAAUAAGAUCAUAAAUACAUCAAUAUUAAAUUGGAAUGCAUGCACUGGCAGUCUAAGAAGAAUGCUUCCCAGACUUGUAGAUUCAGCAGUUGCUGUGAAAAUACGAGUUCUGCUCAGGGCUGCUUCUGUGAAUCAUUGUGAUGAUCACUCGAAAAUCAUUUAAAGUGAAACACCAUUUUUAAAAGAGCGAAGCCUUUUGUACAGGGUGUAUGAAUGCCUGAAAUGACAAAACCGACAUUUCAUCUGUCUUUGCUCUAACAACACUAAACUGAAGGCUCCCAGGGAAAGGCCCCAGUGAGAAAACCCAGAGAGCAGCUGCUCCCAGCCCCAGGAGGAAGUACUGUGUGAUGCUGCUCCAAAGUGCUGCCCCAAGGAGACUACAUGGGUUCACACAGCUCAUCCCAAAUAUCCUAUCCAUAGCAAAGGCACUCAGCCAGUGGAAAGACACUUGCAGCCAGUGCUGUUUCUGAAGGGUGAGCUUUCCUCCUUGGGUUAAAAUUGAAGCCAGGGAGUGAUCCUCUUCAACCAAGGUGCUUGCUGUCUGUUAUCCAUACGGUGUUCUUGGAGGCAGAAAGAGGGCAGCUACAGCUUUAAUUAGCUAAAAGGUUUUGAGCAGGACAUAAAUCUCAUCCCAGGACUUCUUAUUUUCCAGUUGUUAAGCCUUGCACUCUUUCACACAGACAUCCUCAUGCUUUUG
rnacentral:lncRNA from 1 species